CCUACGGCGGCUGCAGUGGGGAAUAUUGGACAAUGGGCGAAAGCCUGAUCCAGCCAUGCCGCGUGUGUGAAGAAGGCCUUCGGGUUGUAAAGCACUUUCAGUGGGGAAGAAAGCCUUGGGGCUAAUACCCUCGAGGAAGGACAUCACCCACAGAAGAAGCACCGGCUAACUCCGUGCCAGCAGCCGCGGUAAUACGGAGGGUGCGAGCGUUAAUCGGAAUUACUGGGCGUAAAGCGCGCGUAGGCGGUCUGAUAAGCCGGUUGUGAAAGCCCCGGGCUCAACCUGGGAACGGCAUCCGGAACUGUCAGGCUAGAGUGCAGGAGAGGAAGGUAGAAUUCCCGGUGUAGCGGUGAAAUGCGUAGAGAUCGGGAGGAAUACCAGUGGCGAAGGCGGCCUUCUGGACUGACACUGACGCUGAGGUGCGAAAGCGUGGGUAGCAAACAGGAUUAGAUACCCUGGUAGUC
rnacentral:rRNA from 1 species